UUCCUACUCCCUCCGUUCGGAAUUACUUGUCGCGGAAAUGGAUGUAUCUAGACGUAUUUUAGUUGUAGAUACAUCCAUUUCCGAGACAAGUAAUUCGGAACGGAGGGAGUACUUG
rnacentral:pre_miRNA from 1 species